rnacentral:rRNA from 1 species
UACCGAGUGAGGGCCCUCUGGGUCAACCUCCCACCCGUGUCUAUCGUACCUUGUUGCUUCGGCGGGCCCGCCGUUUCGACGGCCGCCGGGGAGGCCUUGCGCCCCCGGGCCCGCGCCCGCCGAAGACCCCAACAUGAACGCUGUUCUGAAAGUAUGCAGUCUGAGUUGAUUAUCGUAAUCAGUUAAAACUUUCAACAACGGAUCUCUUGGUUCCGGCAUCGAUGAAGAACGCAGCGAAAUGCGAUAAGUAAUGUGAAUUGCAGAAUUCAGUGAAUCAUCGAGUCUUUGAACGCACAUUGCGCCCCCUGGUAUUCCGGGGGGCAUGCCUGUCCGAGCGUCAUUGCUGCCCUCAAGCACGGCUUGUGUGUUGGGCCCCCGUCCCCCUCUCCCGGGGGACGGGCCCGAAAGGCAGCGGCGGCACCGCGUCCGGUCCUCGAGCGUAUGGGGCUUUGUCACCUGCUCUGUAGGCCCGGCCGGCGCCAGCCGACACCCAACUUUAUUUUUCUAAGGUUGACCUCGGAUCACGUACGGAUACCCGCUGAACUUAAGCAUAUCAAUA